GUUACGUGAUGUGCUGUAUGAGUGCUUGGUGCUAAGAUGACCUCUAUCACCGUUGACUGAUAGCC